rnacentral:lncRNA from 1 species
GCACUGCACCGAGCUUGCACAGGGCGAGGCGGGGGCAGGACCUGGGACCCAGCCACCCCGGAGGAAACCGGAGAGGAAGCCAGCUUGGUCUUGCUCUCUGCCUCGUCCCAAUCCCCGGCUCUUACCAAAUGCAGAUCCGUUGGCUGAAUGCCUUUUAGUCUGCAUACAUGCAUCUCAUACCGCACAGCCCAAAUUUCUACAACUUGUCCAGGUGCAGUCUCCUCAGAACUACAAAGCAAGAAAAGAUCACCUUUGGGCUCAGGAACUCACAGUCGUUCUCCCUCUCCUGGAAGGCACAAUGACCAGGACAGUACCGAGCUUUGCAGCCAUAUUGAACUCACCAUCAACUCAGCACAUUCAACUCAAUCAGUCAAAAUCACCUUUUCCUGCUGGUAAAUAACACUGAAAUUGUGGGAAGAUGGGAUGGUAAGAACAAAGUCUGUCUCUGGAAGCACGGGUGCUGUCUCUGAAGACAAAUUGAUCGUAACACAAGCAGACCCGGUGGAACGACCUCCAUGCUGAACCCUCAGCUCCCCCUGCAUUUGGACCAUGGCCUGAUGGAAGAUAAAGAGACUGAUCUCAGAGUGGUACAGAUCUACAACCACGUGAAGAAUUGGAUUUAUAUUCAUCUGACUCCAGAAAGUUCCUGAGAUUCCUCUGCUUCAUCAUCUUUCCCAUGCCCUUUAAAACACGUUAUCAAAUAGCAACAGGUGGUGCAAUAACUAGACAAAUGAUUCUCAGCCUUUUUCUUUGCCAUUAGCACUCCUGGAAGGAGACGUGUUGGACACGUUUUCCUUGUCACCACCCCAUGAACCUUCCAUACCACAGGUAUACUGUGUAUUCGGUUAUGUAUCAUCUGUACACCUGUUUCUAAAACACAGAAACAGUAAGAGCCCCCCAUCCAAGAAUCCAUUUUAAUCCUCUUGGGUGUGAUGUCACCCCCCAAAAAUGCAUAUGCUCUGGAGUCAGUCACAAACACAUUACGAAUGCAUGAUCACUUAAGAAUGUUACCAAAGUUUAUAAAUUUGAGAUGAUAAUUCUAUGUUAUUUAGUUCAUUUUAGAGAUAAGUAAGAACCAGAGAUUCCAGAGAGGUAGACCAAGCUGACAGAGCAAGGAAAGGCAGAGCCAGACAUGCAGCUGAAGCAUCUGAAUUCCCACUCUAGUGCUCCAGCUUAACCUGGAUGAUCAGUAAAUGGUUGCUUUUCAAUGUGCUCUCAACACUUCCCACGCUGCCUCCUUCAUUGAUAAAGGAAUGGUAUUUUGGGAGAAACCAGAAUCUGCCCUGGGGCAAUAGAAAGGCAGCAAAGCAACCUGCAUUCAAGUCUUUGGGGGAUUUUUUGGAAAGCAGAGUGUAUUAGUCUGCUAUUGCUGCUGUAACAAAUUACCAUAUAUUUAGUGGCUUAAAACAACACACAUUUGUUGUCUUAAAGUUCUGGAGGUCAGAGCCCAAAAUGGGUCUCAUGGAGCUCAAAUCAAGAUGUCAGAAGGGCUGUGUUCCUUUGGAAGGCCCUUGGGGAGAAUCUGUUCCAUGCCUUCUCCAGUUCCUGGAAGUCACCUGCUUGCUUUGGCUGUGGGGCACUUCCAGCAACUGCAUCACUCUAACCUCUGCAACCAUAGCACGUCUCCCUUUUCUGACUCUCACCCUCUUCUUUCUUUCCCUUAUAAGGACGAUUGUAGUCCAGGAUAAUCUCCCCAUUUCAAAAUCCUUUACUUAAUCACAUCUGCAAAGUCCGUCUUGGCCUAUAAGGUGACAUACUUGCAGAUUCCAGAAAUUAGAAUUUGGACGUCUUUGGGUGGCUGUUAUUAUGCCUGCCACACAGACCAAUGCAUACACAAUGUGACCAAUCCAUCAUGAUUUGUCUGAGACUAUAUUGGCUUUAAAGCUGAAAGUUCUGCAUCCCAGGAAUCGCCUCAGUCCCAGGCAAUUCAGGACAAUUCGUUGUCACCCUAUGUGCACCUCCUAUGUGCUCCUUCAACUUAGAGAGUUGGUGUUUUCUCUCCUCUUCAAAGGUCUAACUCCUUUUCACCUAAAGAGUACACAGAGGCUGGGUGUAGUGGCUUAGGCCUGUAAUCUCAGUGCAUUUGGGACACUGAGGCAGGAGGUUCACUUGAGCCCAGGAGUUUGAGACCAUUCAGGGCAACAUAGUGAGAUCCUUUCUCUACAAAUUUUUUAAAAGAUUAGUUGGGCAUGGUGGCACAUGCCUGUAGUCCCAGCUACUUGGCAGGCUAAGGAGGAAGGAUCCCCUGAGCCCGGGAUUCAAGGCUGCAGUGAGCUAUGAUAGUGCCACUGUACUGCAGCUGAGGCAACAAAACGAGGCCCUGUCUCUAAAAAUAAAAAAAAGAAAAAAAGGCUGCACAGAAUAGACUGAUGGACUGAAGGCUCUGCCCUUAUCAAAUAUUUACUAAGUAAUAAUUAUAAGUUUGCCUCCUACACUGGGUGACUUCUC